rnacentral:lncRNA from 1 species
CUGUCGGCCCCGGAGCGCCGCCUGGUGGGGCCCGUUUGGGAGGACGAACGGGUGGGGGCGAUGCGCCCUCGGUGAGAAAGCCUUCUCUAGCGAUCCGAGAGGGUGCCUUGGGGUACCGGACUCCCGUCGCGACGUGUUUGGGCAGAGUGCCGCUCUUUGCCUACCUACCGCGGCCUGCGCCUCCCCCCUCCGAGACGGGGGAGGAUCCCGCCGGCGGUGGCUCGGCGGGCGCGUGUGGGUCGGGCCAGCUCCCGCCUGGGGGCGCCUCCCCGGGUCGUGACUCCGGGUUGGACCGGACGGAUGGACGGACGGGCGGAUGGACGGACGGAGGUUCGGACGGGACCCCCGCGGCGGGGGUCGCGCGUGCCUGGGCCCGGGCGGUGUGGGGCCCGGGACCGGCCCUUCCCCACGCGCUCUCCCGGCCCUCGCCCGCUGUGCGCCUCCUCCCCGUCGCCGCCGACCCGCCCCCCCCGCCCCCCCGCCUGCCCGCGUCCCCCGACCGCACGGUCGCGGGUGCGCCGCGCGUGCCGCGCCCCUAACUCCGCCCUCCGUGGACCGAAACCGGCCUCGCCGCUGUUGGGCGUCCCCGGGCGAAGUGCUCUCGGUCCUCCGAGGAAGGGGAGGAGGGAGGCGCGCGGGGGGUGUUGGGGCGGGCGUCGUUGCGCGUGUGCGGGAGAGCGUUCUCGGGAGAACCGGUCGCGUGAACGGUGGCGGUUGGGGCCCCCGAGCCCCGCGAGGUUGCUUGGGGCCCGCCGUGGGGCGCCCGACCUCGGCCUCCCAGGUGCCUUCUGAGGCUUCCCGAAAGCCCCUCGCGGUGGCCCGCGGUCCUCUCCUCCACCGCUCCCGCUCGCCGUUCUCCGGCGCCUGGCUGGCCCCUGGCCGCCGGGGCGUCUCCCGUCCGCGGCCUUUCCCGAAAGUCCGCCCCCGUCCGUCGUCCGUCUUGCCGACCCGGUGCCGCGCUCCCCGGGGCGCCCGGCGCUUCCCGGGCCCGCUGCGGCCUUCCCGCCCGCGUCCGCCGCUCGCCCCCGCCCCCCGGCGGUGGCGUUGUGUGGUGACGAGGGGCCGCCGUCGUCUCCCGCCGCCCCCCACCCCCGCCGGCCGCGUCCCCGCCCUGGCGCGCGCGUGCCCCGGGCGUGGGUCGGGUCCCCGGCGGCCGCUCGCCGUUGGCCGUCCGCGGCCCCGCGCGCGUCUCCCCGGUGGCGGGGAGGGGUGCGCGCGCGCGCGCGCCCGCGCGGUCUCUGGCUCACCCGCGCUCCUACCUGGUUGAUCCUGCCAGUAGCAUAUGCUUGUCUCAAAGAUUAAGCCAUGCAUGUCUAAGUACGCACGGCCGGUACAGUGAAACUGCGAAUGGCUCAUUAAAUCAGUUAUGGUUCCUUUGGUCGCUCGCUCCUCUCCUACUUGGAUAACUGUGGUAAUUCUAGAGCUAAUACAUGCCGACGGGCGCUGACCCCCCUCGCGGGGGGGAUGCGUGCAUUUAUCAGAUCAAAACCAACCCGGUCAGCCUCCCUCCGGCCCCGGCCGGGGGGCGGGCGCCGGCGGCUUUGGUGACUCUAGAUAACCUCGGGCCGAUCGCACGCCCCCCGUGGCGGCGACGACCCAUUCGAACGUCUGCCCUAUCAACUUUCGAUGGUAGUCGCCGUGCCUACCAUGGUGACCACGGGUGACGGGGAAUCAGGGUUCGAUUCCGGAGAGGGAGCCUGAGAAACGGCUACCACAUCCAAGGAAGGCAGCAGGCGCGCAAAUUACCCACUCCCGACCCGGGGAGGUAGUGACGAAAAAUAAAAAAAAAUAAAAUAAAAUAAAAAAAUAAAAAAAAAAGGAAAUCCUACCAUUUGCUGCAACAAGAGAACCUAACAAUCAUGAAUAUUUAUGCCCCUAAUGUGGGAGCUGCCAACUAUAUCAAUCAAUAACCAGACAUACUUAGAUAAUAAUACUAAGACGGGGAGACUUCAACACAGCACCUCUGCAAAUGACAGAUAUUCUAAGCACAACAUCUCCAAAGAAACGAGAGCUUUAAAUGAUACACUGGACCAGAUGGAUUUCACAGAUAUUUACAGAACUUUACACCCAAAUGCAACUGAAUACACAUUCUUCUCAGGUGCACUUUCUCCAGAAUACACCACAUACUGGGUCACAAAUCAGGCCUUAAUCAAUACCAAAAGAUUGGGAUUCUCCCCUGCAUAUCUUCAGACCAUAAUGCUUUGAAACUUGAACUCAAUCACAAGAAGAAAUUUGGAAGAAACUCAAACACGUGGAGGUUAAGGAGCAUCCUGUUAAAAGAUGAAGGGUCAACCAAGAAAUCAGAGAAGAAUUAAAAAGCUUCAUGGAAACUAAUGAAAAUGAAGAUACAACCAUUCAAAAUCUUUGGGAUACAGCAAAAGCAGUCCUAAGAGGGAAAUACAUCGCAAUAUAAGAAUCCCUCAAAAACUUGGGAAAAACUCAAAUACACAAGCUAACCUCACACCUAAAGGAACUGAGAAGGGCAGCAAAUAAAACCUACACCAAGCAGAAGAGAGUUAAUAAAGAUUCGAGCAGAACUCAAUGAAAUAGAGAUCAGAAGAACUGUAGAACAGAUCAACAAAACCAGGAGUUGGGUCUUUGAAAGAAUUAAUAAGAUAGAUAAACCAUUAGCCAGUCUUAUUAAAAACAAAAGAGAAAGACUCUAAUUAAUAAAAUCAUGAAUGAAAAAGGAAAGAUCGCUAUCAAUACCAAGGAAAUACAAACGACUUUAAACACAUAUGAUGGGCAGCUAUAUGUCAAUAAAUUAGGCAAUCUAGAAGAAAUGGAUGCAUUUCUGGAAAACCACAAACUAUCAAAACUGGGACAGGAAGAAUAGAAAACCUUAACAGGCCAAUAACCAGGGAGGAAAUUGAAGCAGUCAUCAAAAACCUCCCAAGACACAAAUGUCCAGGGCUAGAUGGCUUCCCAGGGGAAUUCUAUCAAACGUUUAAAGAAGAAACCAUACCUAUUCUACUAAACCUGUUUGGAAAGAUAGAAAGAGAUGGAGUACUUCCAAACUCAUUCUAUAAGGCCAGCAUCACCUUAAUUCCAAAACCAGACAAAGACCCCACCAAAAAGGAGAAUUAUAGACCAAUAUCCCUGAUGAACAUGGAUGCAAAAAUUCUCAACAAGAUACUAGCCAAUAGGAUCCAACAGUACAUUAAGAAGAUUCACCAUGACCAAGUGGGAUUUAUCCCCAGGUUGCAAGGCUGGUUCAAUACUCAUAAAGCAAUCAAUGUGAUUGAUCAUAUCAACAAGAGAAAAAAACAAGAACCAUAUGAUCCGCUCAAUAGAUGCAGAGAAAGCAUUUGACAAAAUACAGCAUCCAUUCCUGAUCAAAACUCUUCAGAGUGUAGGGAUAGAGGGAACAUUCCUCAACAUCUUAAAAGCCACCUACGAAAAGCCCACAGCAAAUAUCAUUCUCAAUGGGGAAGCACUGGGAGCCUUUCCCCUAAGAUCAGGAACAAGACAGGGAUGUCCACUCUCACCACUGCUGUUCAACAUAGUACUGGAAGUCCUAGCCUCAGCAAUCAGGCAACAAAAAGAAAUAAAAGGCAUUCAAAUUGGCAAAGAAGAAGUCAAACCCUCCCUCUUUGCAGAUGACAUGAUACUAUACAUAGAAAACCCAAGAGACUCCACCCCAAGAUUGCUAGAACUCAUAUAGCAAUUCGGCAGUGCAGCAGGAUACAAAAUCAACGCCCAAAAACCAGUGGCAUUUCUAUACACUAACAAUGAGACUGAAGAAAGAGAAAUUAAGGAGUCAAUCCCAUUUACAAUUGCACCCAAAAGCAUAAGAUAAGUAGAAAUACACCUAACCAAAGAGGUAAAGGAUCUAUACUAAAAACUACAGAACACUUAGGAAAAAAACUGAGGAAAGCACAAAGAGAUGGAAAAAUAUUCCAUGCUCAUGGAUUGGAAGAAUUAAUAUUGUGAAAAGGUCAAUGCUACCCAAGGCAAUUUACACAUUUAAUGCAAUUCCUAUCCAAAUAUCAUGGACUUUCUUCAGAGAGUUGGAACAAAUCAU